UGUUGUGACUUCCUUUGAAUGCAGCUAUGUUUUGAAGUGUGUGAACCUAUACUGCUGGAGUUUUGAGAUUGUUCUCAUUGUUUUUUGAUCUGCAUAUUUAGGAUGACACUGCUGAGGGCAGAUGAGAGUGCAUCCUCAAAGGUCUGUGUGUACCUAAAUGAAGAUCCAGAGAAGCUGGUGAGGGAGUACAUGGACGUUGAUGAAUGUGCAGAAAUGGCCAAAGCCGAGACUGUCCUCGGAAUCGUCAUUUGAGCAGAGGGUGCAGAGGCUGCCGAUGCACAUCUGGAUGUUGGGAUUGUCCUGGAGGAGGUGGAAGUUAUGAACAGCUUGGGCAGUGUAUCUUCUGCAAUAGUGAUGCUGCUGGGACUAAUCUACGCACUAAACUUGAGCUACCCUCAAGUUUAGUGCGUUCAGCACUCAACUUGCUCAGUAACUCAAGCAUACCUUUGAAGUAAUACAGAAAAUAAUAAUGAAAUUGGAUGGAAAGAACUUAUCAAAGAAAGCACAAGUUCUCAAUAUGAAACUCGCUGCUAAGUUGAGUAAAGUUUCAUAUGGAAAAUGAGUGUUUAAAGACUGCAGUAGAAAAGAUUUAUAUUGUUACAGUUCUCUUAAGUUGAGCAACUAUACUGACAUGUUUUAUGUUGUAAAGAAUUGGCUGGGAAAUGAAACUGUAACCUUUUUGUAGUUGUUUUUUAUUUCAAUGUCCAACUCGGCUGUGUUUUGUGCUGUGUAAAAAAACGAUGUAUAAUAAUUCUGAAAAUACAAUUGUGUUGUACCUUU